AGUGAACGCUGGCGGUAGGCCUAACACAUGCAAGUCGAACGGCAGCACAGUAAGAGCUUGCUCUUACGGGUGGCGAGUGGCGGACGGGUGAGGUGUACAACGUACUCUACUUUUUCGUGGGGGAUAACGUAGGGAAACUUACGAUAAUAUAGCAUACGACCUACGGGUGUAAGCAGGGGAUCUUCGGACCUUGCGCGAUUGAAUGAGCCGAUGACGGGUUAGCUAGUUGGCGGGGUAAAGACCCACCAAGGCGACGAUCCGUAGCUGGUCGGAGAGGAAGGUCAGCCACACUGGAACGGAACCGCGCUCAAGACGCCUAAGGUAGGCAGCAGUGGGGAACAUGGGACAAUGGGGGGAAGCAUGGCCCAGCCAUACCGAGUCGGUGAAGAAAGCCUUCGGGUUGGAAAGCCCUUUUGUUGGUAAAGAACAGCAGCAGGGUAAGACCCCGCGGUACUGACGGUACCCAAUGAAUAAGCACCGGCUAACUUCGUG
rnacentral:rRNA from 1 species